AUGGCAGCGCAAACACCUUCUCUCCUUGCCUUCUUAAUGUGGUUUUUCCUCGCCCUUGGUCUACUUGAUGUUGUAGGGGAGGUGGGACGUGCCUAUCCUCUUGCACGAUCAAACACCUCGAUUGCUACCUCUAUUUGUUUUGCCGAUCCUUGCCGGAGAGCCACCACUACUGUUUCCUUUUUCAGACUUGGUUUGAGUAGUUUGACUCAACUUGAGCUGUUUGAUGUCCGUAUUACAGGAAAUGAGUUAGCUUGCCUUCUAGAAAAUUCUGUUGCUUUGCAGCAGUUGGCACUCAUGUAUUGCAGUAAGAUUAUUAGACUGAAGAUACCUUCCCUGCUGCAGUGGCUCAUCACCCUUGAGGUGUCUAACUGUAAGAGGCUGCAAGCGAUAGAGAUUGAAGCUCAAUGUCUCUCCAAUUUUCGGUUUAUCAGUGACCACCUAGCACAUCUCUCGUUUGGAGAAGCAUUACAAUUGAAGACCCUAGUCAUGCAGUGUCGUGGUGCUCUCUGUUAUGCUCGUGCCAAUCUUCCAUCCAGCUUGCCAAAUCUUGAAACUAUUUCUAUAUGUUCACACAGUGAGAUGCUCAGUACACCAAUGAUUGGUAGCAAAUUUCCAUUCCUCAAGCACUUGACUGUUGUUCUUGCUGCGCCCCCAGCCUAUGAUUAUUGUUCUCUCAUAUCAUUUUUUGAUGCUUCUCCUUCAUUGGAGACAUUCAUCCUGAAUGCGGUGUGGAACAGCAUGCGGCAUCCAUCCAUUUUUGCAGAUCCUUCAGGUCGGAGGCAGAUGCCGGAGCACCACCAUGACAAGCUAAAGAGUGUGACUAUUACUGGUUUCUCCUCUGCAAAGUGCUUGGUUAAGCUAACAUGUCACAUUCUUGAGAGUACAAAGUCACUUGAAUAUCUUACACUGGACACCACCAACGGAGAUAGUGUCUCUAGGUGUUCUGUCAACGGAUCAGACAAAUGCUAUGGCUGCCCCAUGGGCAGGGAUGCCAUCGUCGAAGCUCGGCAAGGGCUCUUGGCCAUCAGGACAUACAUCGAGGGAAUUGUUCCGUCUAAAGUGAAGUUCACUGUUGUGGGGCCUUGCAGCCAGUGCCAUGUUGAGGGCUAG
rnacentral:rRNA from 1 species